UACGCAGGCAGCGAGCGUUGUUCGGAGUUACUGGGCGUAAAGGGUGUGUAGGCGGUUGUUUAAGUUUGGUGUGAAAUCUCCCGGCUCAACUGGGAGGGUGCGCCGAAUACUGAAUGACUAGAGUGCGGGAGAGGUGAGUGGAAUUCCUGGUGUAGCGGUGAAAUGCGUAGAUAUCCGGAAGAACACCGGAGGCGAAGGCGGCUUGCUGGGCUCGGUCUGACGCUGAGGCGCGAAAGCGUGGGGAGCGAACAGG
rnacentral:rRNA from 1 species